AUUGAACGCUGACGUCAGGCCUAACACAUGCAUGUCGAGCGAGCGGAGGACGGUUGAGUAAUGUAUGGGGUCCGACAGAUAGAGGGGGAUAACUACUGGAAACGGUGGCUAAUACCGCAUACUCUCCGAUCACCCAUAUGGGAUUAGCUAGUAUGUAAGGUAAUGGCUGACCUAGGCGACGAUCCAUGGCUGGUCUGAGAGGAUGAUCAGCCACACUGGGACUGAGACACGGCCCAGACUCCUACGGAGGCAGCAGUGGGGAAUAUUGCAAAAUGGGCGCAAGCCUGAUGCAGCCAUGACGCGUGUGUGACGAAGGCCCUAGGGUUGUAAAGUACUUUCAGUCGGGAGGCGUUACCGGCAGAAGAAGCACCGGCUAACGCCGUGCCAGCCGCCGCGGUAAUUC
rnacentral:rRNA from 1 species